ncrna:unclassified sequences SAM-I/IV variant riboswitch
UGUCUGCAUCAAGAGAAGGGCUGACGCCCUCGCCAACCUGCCCGACCCGGCAAGGUGGCUUCCCGAAAGGGAGAUGCGGCCAAGGACGGCAACCAAGGGGUCCAAA